CAACAUUAUAUUGAUACAUUGUUUACAUUUGUAGGGAUUUGGAAGACUCCCCCCAAAAAAUCUUGGUGUCACCAUAAAUCCCCUAAACCUCGUCAACCUUCUGGGGAAGCCUUGAUGGGAUUUCAGACCACAUCUUCAGGUUGUCUUGGUGGGGUAAAAAGAAACCUGAGCCAGAAACUCUGGAAAGGCGCUGGUAGGUUUGUACCUUAGCUCAGUUUUUUUCUGCUGUUUGAACUUCUCCAAACCCCAAAUUCAAAGUGGGAUUCAUAGAAGUUGGGUAGCUUUGGCAAGAUCCCUCUGAAAACUCAGAAAACCCUUCGGGUUUCCCAAGAUGCCUAAUACACAAGGGGAAGGAUUCACAUAUGGGACUCAACAAUUAUAACUGCC
rnacentral:lncRNA from 1 species